rnacentral:rRNA from 1 species
CCUACGGGGGGCAGCAGUCGAGAAUCAUUCACAAUGGGGGAAACCCUGAUGGUGCGACGCCGCGUGGGGGAAUGAAGGUCUUCGGAUUGUAAACCCCUGUCAUGUGGGAGCAAAUGAAAAAGAUAGUACCACAAGAGGAAGAGACGGCUAACUCUGUGCCAGCAGCCGCGGUAAUACAGAAGUCUCAAGCGUUGUUCGGAAUCACUGGGCGUAAAGCGUGCGUAGGCUGUUUCGUAAGUCGGGUGGGAACGGCGCGGGGUCAACCCGCGGACGGCACAUGAUACUGCGAGACUAGAGUAAUCGAGGGGGAACCGGAAUUCUCGGUGUAGCAGUGAAAUGCGUAGAUAUCGAGAAGAACACUCGUGGCGAAGGCGGGUUCCUGGACAUUAACUGACGCUGAGGCACGAAGGCCAGGGGAGCGAAAGGGAUUAGAUACCCGAGUAGUC